GCGGCGUGCCUAAUACAUGCAAGUCGAACGAAACUUCUCUAUCACCGAGUGCUUGCACUCACCGAUAAAGAGUUGAGUGGCGAACGGGUGAGUAACACGUGGGCAACCUGCCCAAAAGAGGGGGAUAACACUUGGAAACAGGUGCUAAUACCGCAUAACCAUAGUUGCCGCAUGGUAACUAUGUAAAAGGUGGCUAUGCUACCGCUUUUGGAUGGGCCCGCGGCGCAUUAGCUAGUUGGUGGGGUAAAGGCUUACCAAGGCAAUGACGCGUAGCCGAACUGAGAGGUUGAUCGGCCACAUUGGGACUGAGACACGGCCCAAACUCCUACGGGAGGCAGCAGUAGGGAAUCUUCCACAAUGGGCGAAAGCCUGAUGGAGCAACGCCGCGUGGGUGAAGAAGGUCUUCGGAUCGUAAAACCCUGUUGUUAGAGAAGAAAGUGCGUGAGAGUAACUGUUCACGUUUCGACGGUAUCUAACCAGAAAGCCACGGCUAACUACGUGCCAGCAGCCGCGGUAAUACGUAGGUGGCAAGCGUUAUCCGGAUUUAUUGGGCGUAAAGGGAACGCAGGCGGUCUUUUAAGUCUGAUGUGAAAGCCUUCGGCUUAACCGGAGUAGUGCAUUGGAAACUGGGAGACUUGAGUGCAGAAGAGGAGAGUGGAACUCCAUGUGUAGCGGUGAAUGCGUAGAUAUAUGGA
rnacentral:rRNA from 1 species